CAGCUACGUCCACCCGGGGUGAAAGUAGUGUGGGAGACCAUCAGGACCCAGCUGGGUUUCCUUGGUCCAGAGGUUUGGAGAAACCUCUUCCUUUUCUUUCAUCACAGCUGUCCUGUGCCAGAUGUUCUGUUGACCCACUGAGAGAGGCGUGUUUGAGAAAGAUCAGGAAGACUGAAGCUCAUGGUAGGAAUGAAGGAGGACCUUGUGAGCUCCACCAGCAGCUCCCUCACAAGGAACUGUUCACAAGUCCACUGCAGGCACGCCCCAGAAGAUGGAUAAAGGCAGCGUUUCAUGAAGACACUGGAACCAAUCUAUCUUCAUAACAGCAGGAUAAAGACAUGGUGAUAAAUGAGUGUGUGGGCCGUCUGCUGAGGACCAGGAGCUCAGGACACUCAGACGGGGGCGUCGCAGCAGGAGUCACCGCGCACCACAAUCCUCUGCUGUUCUGAGAUGUCACACUCCUGCCUGCACAUAGAAACCACAGUGAAGUCAAAGUUCCACCUGCACCUCCACCUGUUCUUGCAACAGCAUGAACACUGACAGAGGAGGAAGGUGGAGGCGCAGCUCCAGCAGAGCAACACCAGAGGU